GGAUGCGAUCAUACCAGCACUAAAGCACCGGAUCCCAUCAGAACUCCGAAGUUAAGCGUGCUUGGAACAAAACGCACGUN
rnacentral:rRNA from 1 species